GAUGAACGCUGGCGGCGUGCUUAACACAUGCAAGUCGAACGGAAAGGCCCAAGCUUGCUUGGGUACUCGAGUGGCGAACGGGUGAGUAACACGUGGGUGAUCUGCCCUGCACUUCGGGAUAAGCCUGGGAAACUGGGUCUAAUACUGGAUAGGACCACUUCUUGGAUGUUGUGGUGGAAAGUUUUUUCGGCGUGGGAUGAGCUCGCGGCCUAUCAGCUUGUUGGUGGGGUAAUGGCCUACCAAGGCGUCGACGGGUAGCCGGCCUGGGAGGGUGUACGGCAACAGUGGGACUGAGAGACGGCCCAGACUCCUACGGGGGGGAGCAGGGGGGAAUAUUGAACAAGGGGCGCAAGCCUGAUGCAGAGACGCCGCGUGGGGGAGGACGGCCUUCGGGUUGUAAACUCCUUUCGCUAGGGACGAAGCGUUUUGUGACGGUACCUGGAGAAGAAGCACCGGCUAACUACGUG
rnacentral:rRNA from 1 species